GCGGAUGUGGCGGAAUGGCAGACGCGCAGCGCUCAGGACGCUGUCAACUUCGGUUGGUGGAGGUUCAAGUCCUCUCAUCCGCA
rnacentral:tRNA from 2 species